AUGAACCGGAAGAGAGAUAAACCCUACUUCUCCAACCGCCGCGCCCCCGCCUCGGCUCCAAAACGACGUCGUCCUCUCCCCCCUCACACCGAAGAACCCGAGCUGCUUGACAAGCCCACCUUCAAACCGCCGCCGCCGCCCGCUCUCGUCGUACUCGGUCUCCCGCCGGACUCCUCCGUCCUCGACCUCAAGUCCCGCUUCGAGAUCUACGGCCCCAUCUCCCGCAUCCGCAUCGACCGCGACUCCAUCGGCCACGUGGCAUUCCGCACCGCCGACGCUGCCCAAGCCGCCGUUGACGCCGCCCUCGAUUCCGCCUUCGGCAUUACCCUCCACUCCAAAAAGUUACAGGUGUUGUGGGCAACAGACCCACUGGCACAGUGGAGGAAAGGAGUUGCGGUUGAUGAGGCUAAUAGGGAUUCGAGUAAUGAGACAUCUUCUUCGUCGUCGAAGCUUUUGAGGGCUGGGAUGCCACUGAGGAGACAUGGCAGAGGGAAUAAGCUUGCUUCGGCUAUAGUGAACCCGAGAGGAGCUGCCGAGGCUUCUGAAUCGUCGGUUUUGGAGGUGCCUUCCAGAGCAAGAGAGAUUGUGGCUUAUGAUGACAUUCUUCGGUGAGUGAUGGAAGAGAAUGAAGAAGGCAGAGUAAAGGAGGAGGAUGAAGAAGAAGAGCAAGAAGAAGUAUGGAGUUGGGGGGCAGGAACAGAUGGGCAGCUGGGCACGGGGAAGCUACAGGAUGAGCUCCUCCCUCAGUUGCUUUCUCUACCUUCGCUCUCAGCCGUAGGAUCAAUCUCUCUCCUCGCCUGCGGCGGCGCUCACGUUCUCGCCUUAACCUCAGGUGGGAAGGUGCUGACAUGGGGAAGAGGCACGUCUGGUCAGCUUGGUCAUUCUGAGAUGGUAAAUAGCCCACAUCCGAAGCUUGUGAUGUCUUUGGACACCUACUUCAUUACACAUGCUUCUGCUGGCUGGAACCACUCAGGUUUCGUUUCAGAUGCGGGGGAUGCUUUCACAUGUGGAGACGGGUCAUUUGGUCAGCUCGGGCAUGGUGAUUACAGUUCACAUUGCAGUCCUGUAAAAGUCUCUUUCCUUGAUGACCUUGGUGUUAAGCAGAUAGCAUGUGGUAUGCGCCAUUCGCUUGUUUUGCUGAAAGGUGAUUCUGGCGAUGAAGUUUAUGGGUUUGGCUCUGGGAAGCGUGGUCAACUCGGUAUCUCCAAGAAGAUCAAGGCAAUUAGUGUUCCUGAACGAAUUUAUGAAUUUGAAGGUGUAAAAGUCACUAGCAUUAUUGCAAAUGGAGAUCAAAGUGCAGCAUUAUCUGCUGAUGGACAUUUGUACACUUGGGGAAAAGGGUUCGGUGGCACUUCAAGUACUUACUCCCCACAGUCUUUAGCUACAUCGUUAUGGUUUACCAAAGCUGCUGUUGGAUGGAAUCAUGUUCUAUUAUUAACUGCUGAUGGAGAAGUUCUGAUGCUUGGCGGAAAUCACCAUGGAGUUCUUGGUAAUCCUGAAAAAAUGUCACCAGCCAGGCUCUUAGCGGAUUCAGGAGAAGCUAUGCUGGAAAAAGUCCCUGGACUUGAAGGGAAUAGGAUCAUGGACAUAGCAGCCGGAGCUGAGCACUCUGUUAUUGUGACAGGUCAUGGAGUGAUUAAGACAUGGGGCUGGGGCGAACACGGUCAGCUUGGCUUGGGAAAUGCAUGUAAUCAAACGAGUCCUCAAGAAGUGAGUCUGGGACACAGAUCUCAGACAGAAGCUACUGCAAUCAAGAUUUACUGUGGCAGCGGGUUCACAAUGGCUGUAAGAACACCACAUAUUCCUUAGACUGGUCACCGCACCUACUGUAUGCUCUCCUUACAUGUUAUUGGCCUCAGGCUACCAUUAUAAGCUGAUGCUUCACAUUGUGGGACAACUGAAAGUAGAAUUUUAGAAGUCAUGUACCCUCAGGGGUAGAACUAUGUACCCAAGUGUGUUCAGGUUCAGUGUUCAUAUUUGUGUAACAGGGUUGUAUUAUUUAGGCAACCAUUCAUCAAUCAUAUUACAGAAAAAUUUAGUUC